rnacentral:rRNA from 1 species
UUUUAUGAGAGUUUGAUCCUGGCUCAGGACGAACGCUGGCGGCGUGCCUAAUACAUGCAAGUCGUACGCUUCUUUUUCCACCGGAGCUUGCUCCACCGGAAAAAGAAGAGUGGCGAACGGGUGAGUAACACGUGGGUAACCUGCCCAUCAGAAGGGGAUAACACUUGGAAACAGGUGCUAAUACCGUAUAACAAUCGAAACCGCAUGGUUUUGAUUUGAAAGGCGCUUUCGGGUGUCGCUGAUGGAUGGACCCGCGGUGCAUUAGCUAGUUGGUGAGGUAACGGCUCACCAAGGCCACGAUGCAUAGCCGACCUGAGAGGGUGAUCGGCCACAUUGGGACUGAGACACGGCCCAAACUCCUACGGGAGGCAGCAGUAGGGAAUCUUCGGCAAUGGACGAAAGUCUGACCGAGCAACGCCGCGUGAGUGAAGAAGGUUUUCGGAUCGUAAAACUCUGUUGUUAGAGAAGAACAAGGAUGAGAGUAACUGUUCAUCCCUUGACGGUAUCUAACCAGAAAGCCACGGCUAACUACGUGCCAGCAGCCGCGGUAAUACGUAGGUGGCAAGCGUUGUCCGGAUUUAUUGGGCGUAAAGCGAGCGCAGGCGGUUUCUUAAGUCUGAUGUGAAAGCCCCCGGCUCAACCGGGGAGGGUCAUUGGAAACUGGGAGACUUGAGUGCAGAAGAGGAGAGUGGAAUUCCAUGUGUAGCGGUGAAAUGCGUAGAUAUAUG